rnacentral:rRNA from 1 species
GUGGGGAAUAUUGGACAAUGGGCGCAAGCCUGAUCCAGCCAUGCCGCGUGUGUGAAGAAGGCCUUCGGGUUGUAAAGCACUUUUGUUGGGGAAGAAAAGACCGUGGUUAAUAACCGUGGUUCAUGACGGUACCCAAAGAAUAAGCACCGGCUAACUUCGUGCCAGCAGCCGCGGUAAUACGAAGGGUGCAAGCGUUACUCGGAAUUACUGGGCGUAAAGCGUGCGUAGGCGGUUUGUUAAGUCUGUCGUGAAAGCCCCGGGCUCAACCUGGGAAUGGCGGUGGAUACUGGCAGGCUAGAGUACGGUAGAGGAUGGUGGAAUUCCCGGUGUAGCAGUGAAAUGCGUAGAGAUCGGGAGGAACAUCUAUGGCGAAGGCAGCCAUCUGGACCAGUACUGACGCUGAGGCACGAAAGCGUGGGGAGCAAACAGGAUUAGAUACCCGGGUAGUCC